UACGUAGGGACCAAGCGUUGUUCGGAUUUACUGGGCGUAAAGGGCGCGUAGGCGGCGUGGUAAGUCACUUGUGAAAUCUCUGAGCUUAACUCAGAACGGUCAAGUGAUACUGCUGUGCUAGAGUGCGGAAGGGCAAUCGGAAUUCUUGGUGUAGCGGUGAAAUGCGUAGAUAUCAAGAGGAACACCUGAGGUGAAGACGGGUUGCUGGGCCGACACUGACGCUGAUGCGCGAAGCC
rnacentral:rRNA from 1 species